GAUUAAAUGGCUGAAAUAUAGGCGGUAAAUUGUAAAUUUAUUUAUGGGAUUUAUCCCUUUAAUCA
rnacentral:tRNA from 1 species